rnacentral:rRNA from 1 species
AUUGAACGCUGGCGGCAGGCCUAACACAUGCCAGUCGAGCGGAUGAAGGGAGCUUGCUCCUGGAUUCAGCGGCGGACGGGUGAGUAAUGCCUAGGAAUCUGCCUGGUAGUGGGGGAUAACGUCCGGAAACGGGCGCUAAUACCGCAUACGUCCUGAGGGAGAAAGUGGGGGAUCUUCGGACCUCACGCUAUUAGAUGAGCCUAGGUCGGAUAGCUAGUUGGUGGAGUAAAGGCCUACCAAGGCGACGAUCCGUAACUGGUCUGGAUGGAUGACCAGUCACACUGGAACUAGGACACGGUCCAGACUCCUACGGGAGGCAGCAGUGGGGAAUAUUGGACAAUGGGCGAAAGCCUGAUCCAGCCAUGCCGCGUGUGUGAGGAAGGUCUUCGGAUUGUAAAGCACUUUAAGUUGGGAGGAAGGGCAGUAAGUUAAUACCUUGCUGUUUUGACGGUACCAACAGAAAAAGCACCGGCUAACUUCGUG